rfam:Salmo salar isolate Sally breed double haploid chromosome ssa05, whole genome shotgun sequence.
AAUGCACCAAUUUGUAAGUCGCUCUGGAUAAGAGCGUCUGCUAAAUGACGAAAA